rnacentral:lncRNA from 1 species
UAAAUUAGAUAUAAAACAAUAAAAAUAUAUUACAGGUAAAAAUCAUAAGGCUUUUUGCAGAAUUGACCUACAACUUAAAGUCAAACACAAAACUAACCUCUUUAUUUUUUGAAAAUUGGUUUUGCCCUAUUCACCCCACAAGUUCAUAUAAUUCACGAAAAUGCCAUAAAUUUUUUUCUUCUUUCGAAAAUGACAUUUUUACUCUCUCACCCUCAUCAUC